rnacentral:lncRNA from 1 species
GUAAUUUUUCUUACUGUUUGAAAUACGAAUUUUAUAUCAGUACUAGAAGGCUUUUUUUGCUAGUUCCACUUAAUCUGACUUAAAACUAGUAUUAAGGCCCUCAGUCCAAACGGACAUCAAGAAGAAUUGAAUGGCUUUUAGGAUAGGGAAUGAGAGCAUAGGGUUUUCCUCUUAGAACUAUCCACAUGAUUUUCUCACAUAGAUUGCUUUCAUUUUUUUGUGUGUGAAAUUAUUGUAUAGCAUUCAUCCAAUUUGGGUUGUUGGUUAAGAAGCAAAGAACUUAAUCUCUAGGUUUCUGACAUGGCUAAAUCUGUGUAAGCUGGGGCACAGUUAAAUGUCUGUGUUUUCCACACUAUGAAAUACAGUGCUUAGUGCAUUCUGUUGAAUUUGAUAAACUAGGUGUAUUAAUCAGGGUUCUCCAGACAAACAGGAUCAAUAGAAUAUGUGUGUGUGUGUGUGUGUGUGUGUGUGUGUGUGUGUGUGUAUUAUGGAGGCUGGCAAGCUCAAGGUCUGCAGAGUAUGUCAGCAAGGUGGAGACCUAAGAGAGGGGAUGGUUUCAUUCCAGUUUAAAGGUUGCUUUAGUUUGAAUCUGAAAGCAGGAAAAUUCUGAUGUUUCUUUUAAAAAACAGUCAGAACAAAUUCUCAUUUACUUAGUGGGGAGUCAGUCUUUUGGUUCUAUUCAGGCCUUUAACUAAUUGGAAGAUAUCCACUCACACUAGAGAGGGCAAUCUGCUUGACUCAGUUUACCAAUUUAAAUGUUAAUCUCAUCCAAAAGUACCCUCACAGUGAUAUCCAGAACAACUUGAUCAACUACCUGGGUACCUCUUAGCAUAGUGAAAUUGACACACAACAUUAACCAUCACCCUAGCAACGGCACUUUUUCCCACUGCUUCAGAGCAAAUUACCAGUUAAAAGGAUUCAAUGAAUAAAAAUGGACAAGAGGAAUUAGCAAGUAUGCUUACAACAGUUUUUUUCCAAAAUUAAGAAUAGAAAUUAUAAAUACAUAUUCCAUUCAUAUAAAUACUAUAGCGAUUAUAUAACAAUAGCAUCCAAUGGUUAUUGAAUGUUUGAAAUGUAC